CCUACGGGAGGCAGCAGUGGGGAAUAUUGGGCAAUGGGCGCAAGCCUGACCCAGCAGCGCCGCGUGAAGGAAGAAGGCUCUCGGGUUGUAAACUUCUUUUAUCAGGGACGAAGCAAGUGACGGUACCUGAUGAAUAAGCCACGGCUAACUACGUGCCAGCAGCCGCGGUAAUACGUAGGUGGCAAGCGUUAUCCGGAUUUACUGGGUGUAAAGGGCGUGUAGGCGGGAAAGCAAGUCCGAUGUGAAAACCCUGGGCUCAACCUGUGGCCUGCAUUUGAAACGGUUUUUCUUGAGUACUGGAGAAGCAGACGGAAUUCCUAGUGUAGCGGUGAAAUGCGUAGAUAUUAGGAGGAACACCAGUGGCGAAGGCGGUCUGCUGGACAGCAACUGACGCUGAGGCGCGAAAGCGUGGGGAGCAAACAGGAUUAGAUACCCCAGUAGUC
rnacentral:rRNA from 1 species